CGUUAAAUGGGGAAUGACAGGCUGGGAAACUAGUCCUUCUUCGGACAUUCUUCAAGGUGCUGCAUGGUUGUCGUCAGCUCGUGCCGUGAGGUGUUGGGUUAAGUCCCGCAACGAGCGCAACCCCUACUGUUAGUUGCCAGCAUGUAAUGAUGGGGACUCUAGCAGAACUGCCGGCGCAAGCCGCGAGGAAGGUGGGGAUGACGUCAAAUCAUCACGGCCCUUACGUCCUGGGCUACACACGUGCUACAAUGGUAUAUACAGAGGGCAGCUACCUGGCGACAGGAUGCAAAUCUUUAAAAUAUAUCUCAGUUCGGAUUGGAGUCUGCAACUCGACUCUAUGAAGCUGGAAUCGCUAGUAAUCGCAUAUCAGCCAUGAUGCGGUGAAUACGUUCCCGGGCCUUGUACACACCGCCCGUCAAGCCAUGAAAGUUGGGGGUGCCUGAAGUGCGUAACCGCAAGGAGCGUCCUAGGGCAAAACCGAUAAUUGGGGCUAAGUCGUAACAAGGUAAGCGUAGUGCU
rnacentral:rRNA from 1 species